rnacentral:rRNA from 1 species
GACGAACGCUGGCGGCGUGCUUAACACAUGCAAGUCGAACGCUGAAGCUUGGUGCUUGCACUGGGUGGAUGAGUGGCGAACGGGUGAGUAAUACGUGAGUAACCUGCCCUUGACUCUGGGAUAAGCCUGGGAAACUGGGUCUAAUACUGGAUACGACAUGUCACCGCAUGGUGGUGUGUGGAAAGGGUUUUACUGGUUUUGGAUGGGCUCACGGCCUAUCAGCUUGUUGGUGGGGUAAUGGCUCACCAAGGCGAUGACGGGUAGCCGGCCUGAGAGGGUGACCGGCCACACUGGGACUGAGACACGGCCCAGACUCCUACGGGAGGCAGCAGUGGGGAAUAUUGCACAAUGGGCGGAAGCCUGAUGCAGCGACGCCGCGUGAGGGAUGACGGCCUUCGGGUUGUAAACCUCUUUCAGCACGGAAGAAGCGAAAGUGACGGUACGUGCAGAAGAAGCGCCGGCUAACUACGUG